UACGGGGGGGGCAAGCGUUGUUCGGAAUUACUGGGCGUAAAGGGCUCGUAGGCGGCCAACUAAGUCGGACGUGAAAUCCCCAGGCUUAACUUGGGAACUGCGUCCGAUACUGGAUGGCUUGAAUCCGGGAGAGGGAUGCGGAAUUCCAGGUGUAGCGGUGAAAUGCGUAGAUAUCUGGAGGAACACCGGUGGCGAAGGCGGCAUCCUGGACCGGCAUUGACGCUGAGGCGCGAAAGCCAGGGGAGCAAACAGG
rnacentral:rRNA from 1 species